rnacentral:rRNA from 1 species
CAAAGGGAUUACCGGUGGCGGAUGGGCAUGCGGCGCAUUAGCUAGUCGGCGGGGUAACGGCCCACCGAGGCGACGAUGCGUAGGGGUUCUGAGAGGAAGGUCCCCCACACUGGUACUGAGACACGGACCAGACUCCUACGGGAGGCAGCAGUGAGGAAUAUUGGUCAAUGGGCGCGAGCCUGAACCAGCCAAGUCGCGUGAGGGAUGACGGUCCUACGGAUUGUAAACCUCUUUUGCCGGGGAGCAAGCGUGCGUUCGUGAACGCGCGUCGAGAGUACCCGGAGAAAAAGCAUCGGCUAACUCCGUGCCAGCAGCCGCGGUAAUACGGAGGAUGCGAGCGUUAUCCGGAUUUAUUGGGUUUAAAGGGUGCGUAGGCGGGAUGCCAAGUCAGCGGUAAAAAUGCGGUGCUCAACGCCGUCGAGCCGUUGAAACUGGCGUUCUUGAGUGGGCGAGAGGUAUGCGGAAUGCGUGGUGUAGCGGUGAAAUGCAUAGAUAUCACGCAGAACUCCGAUUGCGAAGGCAGCAUACCGGCGCCCUACUGACGCUGAGGCACGAAAGCGUGGGUAUCGAACAGGAUUAGAUACCCUGGUAGUCCACGCAGUAAACGAUGAAUGCUAACUGUCCGGCUCGAAUGAGCGCUGG